rnacentral:rRNA from 1 species
AUUGAACGCUGGCGGCAGGCCUAACACAUGCAAGUCGAACGAGUGGCGGACGGGUGAGUAAUGUCUGGGUCACUGCCUCAUUGAGGGGGAUAACUACUGUAAACGGUAGCUAAUACCGCAUACCAUCGGAUGUGCCCAGAUGGGAUUAGCUUGUAGUUGGGGUAAAGGCUCACCUAGGCAACGUUCCCUAGCUGGGCGGUGAGGAUGACAAGCCACACUGGAACGGAGACACGGUCCAGACUCCUACGGGAGGGAGGAGUGGGGAAUAUUGCAUAAUGGGAGGAAGGCUGAUGCAGCCAUGCCGAGUGUAUGAAGAAGACCAUCGUGUUGUAAAGUACUUUCAGCGGGGAGGAGUUACCAGAAGAAGAAGCACCGGCUAACUCCGUGCCAGCAGCCGCGGUAAUAC